AUGUUGACAGUAGCCACUGCUGCACCAGCAAAGACCUACAAAAUUACAGAAUACAGCAAGGCUAAAAACUUAACAAACCUCCUGAGAAAAAACAUGAACCACCUCCUAAUUCAAUAUGUUAACUUGACACACUUUCAGCAAGAGCUGUGCACGGGCAUGGAGUCUAAGUCUGACCUCCAGAUUUUAAACAAGUCGAAGAGUGAUAAAGAGAAACUUGCCCAUGUGAAAAAUGGGCUUGCCUUCAUCAAUGUCACACUGCAGAAGAUUUAUCUCAUGGAGCAACAGGAUCAAAAUCCCUUAGAAAAAGAUUUUCACAGUAAUCUGGCCGUGGCUGCUUCAAGGACUGAAGACCUGAUUUCUCACGUGGACAGCAUUUGGCACAACUUGUAUAAUACUCCUGGUCCCAAGAAAGAAAUACAUUUUAACUACCCCGCAGAUGGCUUUAAAAAGAAGAAAUGGACCUGUUCAGUGCUCAAACAGUCCUCAUCAUUUCUUGUUUGGGUAUCGUCUGUGAUUUCCCACCUCGAAGCCUCAUGUUAUUAAAGCUCGGAUGCUGUAGGAGGCCUGUGUUGAGUCUGCCCCCUACAACACUCAGUAAACUGUGUUGUAAGUAAUGCUGGCAGUCCAGUAGGUGGCAGCUCUCUGCGUGCAACAGAAUGUAAAUCUGGAAAAUUGUAUUCAAACCUGGAAUGAGAAUGAGUUUUCAAAAGUUUUGUAUUUUACUUAUUCCUAGAUUCCUUGAACAUUUGGAAGUACAAUGGACGUGUGGAUGACAACGGAACUUUCUUUGCACACUAUGUUUCUUUGCACACUUCAGGCAAUUGAAUGUAUUUUUAGCAUUUUUAAGGAAAGAUAUAUUUUUCUAAAAAGAGCCUCCUAAGAAGUUUUAGUUUAUAAGAAUCAGUUGUCAAUAUCAGGGAUGUGUCUUAUAUGAGCACCAUAUGUAAAUUGUAGAUAAAGGUUGUGCAUUUUGCAUUACUUUUUUCAACCUGCCCACAUCCCAUUGGUGAAGUAAGUCAGUCCCUGUAUAGGAAGAAAGUAGCUGUGACAUGCAAGGGGAUUUUCUGUGUGUUUCUGUGUAAAGUAAAAACCACUUAACAGUUCAGACAAUUCACAACUGAGAUACUUUUUUAAAUACUGCUAUUUAUUUAUUUGUUGUAUUUAUGUUUAUUAUAACUAACUAGAUGAUCACUGCUUCUUUUACAAAUUAUAUGGAGCAGUUACAGUCUUAUGCAUAAUUCAAGAAAAUUAAGUACUGUAAAAGUAACUUGUUCU
rnacentral:lncRNA from 1 species